GUACCAAAGUGCUCAUAGUGCAGGUAGUUUUGGCUUUACUCUACUGUAGUGUGGGCACUUCCAGUACU
ensembl:miRNA MIR20B microRNA 20b